UACGGGGGGGGCAAGCGUUGUUCGGAAUUACUGGGCGUAAAGGGCUCGUAGGCGGCCAACUAAGUCAGACGUGAAAUCCCUCGGCUUAACCGAGGAACUGCCCUCCAAACUGUUUGGCUUGAGUCCGGGAGAGGUGAGUGGAAUUCCCAGUGUAGCGGUGAAAUGCGUAGAUAUUGGGAGGAACACCAGUGGCGAGGGCGGCUCACUGGACCGGAACUGACGCUGAUGCGCGAAAGCGUGGGGAGCAAACGGG
rnacentral:rRNA from 1 species